AUAGUUUCUGUCUUAGAGAAUCAGAGAAUCAUAGAAUCGUUAAGGUUGGAAAAGACCCUUAAGAUCAUUGAGUCCAACCGUUAACCUAUCACUGCCAAGUCCACCACUAAACUAUAUCCUCAAGCAGCACGUCUACCCUUCUUUUAAAUACCUCCAGGGAUGGAGCUCAACCACUGCCCUGGGCAGCCUGUUCCAAUGCCUGACAUCUUUUUUUGUGUAGAAAUUUUUUCUAAUGUCUGACCUAAACUUCCCCUGGCACAGCUUGAGGCCAUUUCCUCUCAUCCUAUCACUAGUUACUUGGGAGAAGAGACUGACCCCCACCUCGCUGCAACCUCCUUUCAGGUAACCAUUACACAUGAUGGAGCCCUGCUUUCCUGGAGAUAGCUGAACACCUGCCUGCCGAUGUGAAGUAGUGCAUGAAUUCCUUGUUUUGCUUUGCUUGCACACGCAGCUUUUGCUUUGCCUACUUUAUCUCAACCACAAGUUUUCUCAUUUUUACCUUCCCAAUUAUCUCCCCCAUUCCACCGGUGGAAAGCGAGCAUGUGGAUGCAUGGUGCUGAGCUGCCCACUGGGGUUUAAACCACAACAGUCCUUUUUGGUGCCCAACGUAGGGCUCAAAGGAUUUGAGGAAACAACAGAUUUGAGUGGAGUUCGCUAGGCUGAAUUUAUAGCUGUUACAGCUAUUUAGCUAUUAAUUGGCAGGGUCCUGUGCUUGCCAUGGGGCUUGCUUGCCUUGCUGUACAUUAGAGUCUAGUGCUUGUUAGUGGCUCCUUUUUGCUCUUGCUGUUUGCUUUAGAGCUUAUCAUCUCGCCCUGCUGUGCCUGGGAGCGUUUUGAUAACAGCAGUGACCAUGUGUCUGGGCUGGCCCAUGGCCAGGGCAUCACUGCUGUUCCUGUGCCGCUGUGCUGGACAGGCUGGCGCUCCAGCGUCACCUUGAGCUGAAGGGACUUGACCUGUGGAUAAGUCCAUGCGGGAACAGGACGUCCCAAAGUGUCUAUGGCUGUGGAUAAGUCCAUGUCAGAGCAGAAAUGUCUGUGGCUGCAGAUAUGUCCACACCACAGCUGGUAUACCCCUGAAGGGAUUGUGGUCAAGCAUAAGUCCACACUGGAGAAGGUUCACCUUGAAGCAUCUGUGGCCGUGGAAAAGUCCACAACACAGCAGGUACACCCCUGAGGGGACUGUGGCCCAUGGAUAAGGCUGCACCGGAGGAGGUACACCUUGAAGCAACUGUGGCUGUGGGUAAGUCCAGGCCACAUCACGUAUACUUCUGAGGAGGCUGUGGCCCAUGAGUAAGUCCAUGCCAGAGCAGGUCCACCCCUACGGGGAUGGGGUCUGUGGAUAAGUCCAUGCUAGAGCAAAGGCAAGGGGAGGAGUGCGCUGCUGUGUCCAAAGAGACCAGAGGUGGAGACUGUAAUGGAUACACCUUUAAAUUGUUGUAACCUGUGAUUUGAGCUGCAUCUUGUAGGAAGUACUAUAGCAGGAACUGCCACUGGUGGAGGAUGAGCCUCACAAGAAGCAGUGCAAGUGCAGCAGUGAGCUGACCUGAGCUGGCUUUGGUACCCAAUAACUCCACACAACACUGUCCUGUCCUGACCGACCACCAUAACAGAAAGAACCCAGGUCGUGGGACUAAUGAACUCAAUAGACACGUCAUGGACAUUUUAUGAACAUUUUACAGGGAUGGUCCAUAGACUUAGGGCAUGAUACCUGUGUAUACAUCAAGAGAUGAGUUGGGGUAAGGUGGCUAAUGAGGAUCUACUGGAUAGUGUGGGACCUGAGCAUGAGGUAAAUGGUAUGGAACAAGGUGUGGAGAUUGUACUGUUUUUGGCUGGGACAGAGUUAAUUUUCUUCAUAGUAGCUUGUAUGGUGCUAUGUUUUGGAUCUGUGAUGAAAACAGUGUUGAUAAAACACUGAUGUUCGUGCUUCCCCUUGUGAUCAGGGGAUGCCCACACCGUGAUGAAGGAGGAAGGAUGAGCACUCUCACCAUUGGCUAGGUAAUUAUUUUACUCAUAGGUGCACGAGUUACAAGUUAUGAGUUAAUGAAUUGCGAGUAAUGAAUUAGAGAACUUGUGAGAUAGAAACCACGUGACUUAAGUGAUGAAUUAGUGAAUUCACGUGCUAGAGUAGCCUGUACAAACGGAAUUGAGCUUGUUUUUGUGUUUUUCUUUCCUAAUGAGCUCAUAGCAUGUAGUUUAAUUUAGAGAGUACGUUGUCCUGUAAAUUUGAGAGAUCCAAAUGGAGCGUGACACAGUAGUCUGUGGCCAUUCUCCCUAUUACCUGUCCAAAUACUUUAAAACUGCUUCUUUCCAAAAGAGCGAGCAGGUGCUGACUAGGGACACUCCUUUGAAAGGAGUAGGAGAAAUCCUUCACAAGACUCAAGUUCUGUGUUGGUGUUCUACCCCAAAUUCCUGAUUUCCUUUAAAGGCCUUGCCAAAGACCUCUGGUGCUAGCUCCUCUUCCUGGGUCAGUUAUAAUCCACCCGGCCCUUCCCUCUUGUUUCACUCUCUAUGGACUAUGGACUUUUAGUGUUAAUGUGUGUCAGCCUAAAUAAUUAAAAGCAAUGCACACUGUAUCCCAGAAAAUUAGAAAGGUUCAAAAUGUGCGUCUUCCUUCUCAAAGAAAGGUAGAAACUCAAAUCACAGUCAGCAGAAAAAUGAAUAAGCUAUUUGAUGAUACCAUGUACAACAAAAUAGCAUCAUAAAAAUGAAAUUAUUUGAAGUAAUAUUCAAAUGAUGCAGUCAUCGUUGAUUUAGUUUCCAAUUAUACAGAGGUAAUUGUAUUAAGGAACUGCCUCAUUCAGUUUGGUGGGAUAACAACUGGAAGUUUUAAUGUCAUGGCAUCUGCAGAUAAUAAAUGAUGUGAUCUGUGCUCCUAACUCAACUAGAAUCCUAAUUCUUGUUUUACCCAGGGCAUACUACAAUAUCGCUAUGCCUGAUGAAAGAUACUUCUAUGACCUUCUGGAGCCAAAACAAUUCUGUAAUAAUUCUAGAAUAGAAUAGCUGUUCUAGAAUUAAAUGUUGUAGUAAGCUAAAAUAGUUGAAGGAACUUAUUCAAGAAUUAAUGACCCUGUAUAUAUAGCAAAUUAAAAUCCAUGUUAAAUUCCAUGAAUAGAAACAUUUGCAACCUGCAUUGUACUGCAGAAUCUGGGAAUAGUUUUAAAAGACUUAUUUUUCUGACUUCAACUGCUGAAGCCAGAUGAACUGUAAAUAAACACAUCACAAAGAGUCUAAAGUGCAUCAUGUGCUUUGGAGUCAGAACCCCAUGUCUGAUAUGCUGUUGAACUCCCCACCAUCCUCUAAGUGUUGGAAUACGUUUAUGCCAUAGCUGAGCUGACCCAGCUCCUGCCUGCCCUUUAUAUUCUCAAGUGUUCCCUGGAGCUCAGAGAGCCUAGACGUUUCUCAGCUGCAUCCUAUAAUUGUUCAUGGAUUUUUUGUUGCCCCUUCCAGCCCCCAAAAAAUCCAGAAAGUGUGAAAGCGAAAUAAUACUGAGGUCUCUUUGACUUUCAUUUUCUGAUGCAAGAGACAACACAAGCAUUGGGUAGAACAUCUGUCCUAUCAAAGUAUUUUAGUAUACUAUACUAGCAGUAUCUACAGAAACAGAAUUAAAAACUCAAAUAGAGUUUAAUCUAUGAUACAUUCAUAAUCUCUUCUAGGAAGAACCUUAUCCUCUACCUUACCAUUCUGUAUGUCCUCUUGCUAUAACAGUAGUGUUUGCUAAAUAUGGGAAAUCCCAAGUUAUUUCCUGUUUUGAUUUUCAAACAGAAAGGGAGAAGAUGGUUGCUUUACUGCUACUUUUUUUCCUUGUCUUUUCUCUUUUUAUUUUGAGAUUUUCCUCCUGACAGCCACAUGACAUGGGAAAAUAAUAUGUUGUUUACUCCUUCAGCCUUUUGUCAUGCCCCAUAUAUUCUGCUAACCCAGCAAGCAGUCCUUACUUACCAUGUUUAAAAUAUAAGCAACCUGCUGACUCUAUUCACACUGUUCUGCAAGAGCUGCUCUUGGAGCAGCCACAUGCACAGGAUGCUGUGCUUCUCGUCCGCAGGGCUGUUAUGCAGGCAGCCUGUUAGCUAUCAGCAACUGUCACUGCUGAGCCUGUCCUGAUUUAUCUGGUGGGACGCUAACUUCCAAAUGUGCUCAGCAUUGUGAAGAUGGGCGUAGGCAGGAGGGCAGAUGCCAGUGCUGCGUAGGAAUGCUCGUGCAGCCUCACUGCUAGCCAGGCAGCAGAGGUAAUAGCUGGAACAAGUUGCACAGACUGGCUUCCAGCAUUGAUGUGUCCUCCAUGCCUCAGUAUGAGGACAACAGUCAGAAAUGCAGAAACUCUGGAGUUAUGAUGUUUCCCUUGGUAUUUUGCCUGCUGGUUCUUUUUUUUCUUUCUAGCUUAACUUGCACCUCUUUCUCCUCUCCUAAAUAUGUCAUUAUGUUGCCAGCUAUUAGCUUCACUCCUAACCUCAUCUCUGUUAGUGUGCUGUAGGGAGAUGGUAAUACAUAGGCCUAGGGAUGAACAAAGACUGUAUUUGAAUAGGAAGCAAUCUCAAGCAAUCGGUGUGAUCCUCGGCACUAUACUGGACCGUGUGUCUACCUUUUAUUUAAACAGGUGGUAGAAACAGGGAGGUUUGUCUCUGGAAGUGAGUUUCCGAGGAAACAAAAACUCAGCCUGAUUCUCAGAAUAUAAAUGCAACCCUCAUUUUUAUGCACUCUUUUGGGAUCUGCUACUACCACUCUUUUGGCAGCUGCUCAGCACGAGCAGCUAACAAAGCAGUGUUGGGAUCUCCGGCAGCCCAUGACCUGCUGACCCUUUUUUUUCUAUUUUGUACUUCUAAGUACUCUGUUCCAGAAGAAGUCAUCCAUUAUGGGUUCCCCUUAAUCACUCUUAAAGGUUUGGACAAGUUAAACAUAUACACGUAUUUCCAAAUAAAUCUGGCCUCCAGAGUUGAUUGUUAUUCUGGCUUUUUUCAGAACUCUUCCUCAUCUAUCUUUGGUGUUUUUGAUAGUGCUGUUGAUGGAACUGAAUAUUUUAAGCCAAAAUCAUAAAGAAAAUUACUUAACCUGAUGCUGUUACAGCUCUUCAUGUGGAGUCCAAAAUGACAUUGCUCUUAUGCCUUGCCAUAUCCUGUGCAAACUUGCAUCUAGUUGCCAGGGGAGAAGAAAGGGACUUUCCCCUCAGUCUCUUUUCCAAUUCAUACUAUUCAGGCUAUUCCUUCCACUGAAAAAGUAUUAGAAUUAUUUGUACACUAUUUUUCAAUUUGCCUUAUUUUAGAUAAAAACUAUUACUUUUUGAGUGCAUCAUUUAUUUACACUCCAUCUAUAAUUCUCUCUUCACUGGUAUUUCCAUGUUUUUGUGAUGUACAAUUGUAAAUGUCAGCAGCAUGCUGAAGUUUACUUUAUUUUCCCAAUGAAAAUAUUUUAAAAAAUCAGCCCUCACACCCAUAUCUAUCAUACCCCAGACAUCUCCUCACAGUUCAAUGUAUUCUGUGUCUUUGCAACACUGUGUUAAGGUUCCCAGUAUAUACUGGGGUUUCCAGCAUACUGUAAGCCAUGUUUGAGAGGGAGAAGCCUACAUGGGGGCCGGAGCAGCAGUUUGGUAGCUGGCAGAAGGAGCCAGCCCGAGAGCUUCCCAGGGAAAUAGCUUGCUGCUGGCAGGGUGUCAUUAGUAGCAGCAGGAGGACAUAAGGAGGCAAGAGACACAACAAAACUGCAUAUGUGACUGGCAGAAGACUGGUGUCAAAUGGUCCCAACAAGGCCCACCCCAUACGAUCAUAACCCUCAUUUGAGAUUCAGCUGCAGGGCUGAUAACGUUGCCGCUGUUAAGCGUUAAUUGUGCUUAAGGGAGUUGUCCUAUUUGUUCGGAGAAAGCCAUAAAGCAGUCGCAUUACUUCUGCAGACCCUGCAUGUUAAACGAGGACAGCCUGGUAACUAGAGCCUGCAAAGCCUCCUGCCUCCAACACCUACAGCGCUUGGCACUGAGCGGGGGGAGCCCCAGCUGGGAGGGGGUGUCUUCACCCACCAUCAGGGGAUGGGUGCCCCACAACAAACUUACAGCUUCCCUAGCAAAGCCAGCCUGAAUUCAUUUUUCAAGUAAGAUUUUUAUGGAGUAUGAUUUGAAACCUUAAUAAAGUCUAUUACGUUA